CCUGGUAAAUCCGGUUGCAUAUCAACCCUGAGGCGUGAUGACGAUGCACUACGGUGCAGAAGUAGUUGAUGCCCUGCUUCCAGGAAAAGCCUCUAAGCUCUAGGUAACAUUGAAUCGUACCCCAAACCGACACAGGUGGUCAGGUAGAGAAUACCAAGGCGCUUGAGAGAACUCGGGUGAAGGAACUAGGCAAAAUGGUGCCGUAACUUCGGGAGAAGGCACG
rnacentral:rRNA from 1 species